AGUGAACGCUGGCGGUAGGCCUAACACAUGCAAGUCGAACGGCAACACAGUAAGAGCUUGCUCUUACGGGUGGCGAGUGGCGGACGGGUGAGGCAUACAUCGCCAUCUACUUUUUCUUGGGGGAUAACGUAGGGAAACUGACGCUAAUACCGCAUACGACCUACGGCUGAAAGCAGGAGAUCUUCGCACCUUGCGCGACUGAAUGAGCCGAUGUCGGAUUAGCUAGUUGGCGAGGUAACGGCCCACCAAGGCGACGAUGCGUAGCUGGUCUGAGAGGAUGAUCGGCCACACUGGAACUGAGACACGGUCCAGACUCCUACGGGAGGCAGCAGUGGGGAAUCUUGGACAAUGGGCGAAAGCCUGAUCCAGCCAUACCGCGUGGGUGAAGAAGGUCUUCGGGUUGUAAAGCCCUUUUGUUGGGAAAGAAAAGCAGUGGGUUAAUCCAUCGAUGUCCUGACGGUACCCAAAGAAUAAGCACCGGCUAACUUCGUG
rnacentral:rRNA from 1 species